UACGUAGGGUGCGAGCGUUGUCCGGAAUUACUGGGCGUAAAGAGCUCGUAGGCGGUUUGUCGCGUCUGCUGUGAAAACUGGGGGGCUCAACCCCCCAGCCUGCAGUGGGUACGGGCAGACUAGAGUGCGGUAGGGGAGAUUGGAAUUCCUGGUGUAGCGGUGGAAUGCGCAGAUAUCAGGAGGAACACCGAUGGCGAAGGCAGAUCUCUGGGCCGUAACUGACGCUGAGGAGCGAAAGCAUGGGGAGCGAACAGG
rnacentral:rRNA from 1 species